rnacentral:piRNA from 1 species
UGCAGGCAACAGGGGCUUCAUGUCUGUGA